rfam:Syntrophobacterales bacterium RIFOXYC2_FTLL_60_23 rifoxyc2_full_scaffold_16786_curated, whole genome shotgun sequence.
CCCGCCGCGAGGCGGGAUCGGAAGGAAGCCGUAAGCGAAGUCCCGGCCCGAGGAACACGAAGGGCAUAGGAGGCGGCGGCGGGAGGGCGAGGGGGCCGAAGGACCCAAAGCCCGAUGUCAUCCGGACCCAGCCGACGUAGAUGCCACGGGUGUAUGGGAUGAACGUCACGCGUC